UACGUAGGCAGCAAGCGUUGUUCGGAAUUACUGGGCGUAAAGAGUGUGUAGGUGGUGCUCCAAGUCUGUUGUGAAAUCUCCCGGCUUAACUGGGAGGGUGCGGCGGAAACUGGAAUGCUUGAGGAUGGGAGGGGAAAGCGGAAUUCCUGGUGUAGCGGUGAAAUGCGUAGAUAUCAGGAGGAACACCCGUGGUGUAGACAACUUUCUGGACCAUUUCUGACACUGAGACACGAAAGCGUGGGUAGCAAACAGG
rnacentral:rRNA from 1 species